GCAACCUACCUUAACAGGGGAAUAACCCGUUGAAAAACGGACUAAUACUCCAUAACACAGGGGUCCCGCAUGGGAAUAUUUGUUAAAGAUUAAUCGGUUGAAGAUGGGCAUGCGUUCCAUUAGCUUGUUGGUGAGGUAACGGCUCACCAAGGCCACGAUGGAUAGGGGAACUGAGAGGUUUAUCCCCCCACACUGGAACUGAGACACGGUCCAGACUCCUACGGGAGGCAGCAGUGAGGAAUAUUGGUCAAUGGAGGCAACUCUGAACCAGCCAAGUCGCGUGAAGGAUGAAAGGUCUCAUGGAUUGUAAACUUCUUUUGCAAGGGAAUAAAGUGGGGGACGUGUCCUCCUUUGCAUGUACCUUGCGAAUGAGGAUCGGCUAACUCCGUGCCAGCAGCAGC
rnacentral:rRNA from 1 species